rnacentral:lncRNA from 1 species
AUGAGCCUCUGUCUCACCUUUUGAGAUAUCAAGGUUUGUUUCAAGAUUGGCCUGAAGCCUAUUCAAGCUGGGGUCUCCCACCCCCCAGAUUCACAUCCUCUGAUGCACGCAUAUUCUUGUUCCUUUAGUCUAGGGGAUGCAAACAAACGAGAAGUGAGAUUUAAGGGGUAACGGGCUUGAAGGAAACAAGGCAAUACACCACAGAGAGAGAUUUAAAUAGUGCUAGAGUAAGCUCGCGUGUCUCAGGGAGGUUGUCAGUAAGCCCAGCUGCUUGGUGCCUUAGCAAGAGGCAAGAAGCCAAGUCUAGGCUGUAAGCGUAUUCCUGUCCUCCGUGUCAGCAGAUAACACAGCUAGCGUUAUUGUUCUGUUCUGGCAGCUGUCGGCUGAAACAUUGUGGGAUGCCACACUUGGCCCAAAGGCGGAUGGUACAGCAACAGAUUUCUCUUAGGAGAGAAAAGAAGAAUGUUGCAUCCUGUUCUUCGUAAUAUUCAAGACGAUAGCACAUCUAGCUCCACCAUGGGUAGAUCGGGACUUGAUAACAUGUGUCUGAGCCUCUGUUUCCUGUUCCCUACCUUCACACACCCCCAUAGCUGAAUGCUGUAGAGGAUAUCCUCAAAAGGACAAUUACAAUUUUGGAAUAAUGUGUUCACUUCCCACAUCCUUACCUUCUAACACAUCCUUAAGUGUUCUCUCCCCUGGAGCAGAGAGAGCUUUUGUGCUGACUGUCUCUCUUAUCAGGGAGGGAAUGAGCUCAUAAACGUAAAUUAAAAUGCCAUACACUCAUCAUGUCACAUGCCCCAGGGACUCCUGCAUUAUGACCCUCACAGUAAUAGCUACUGUUUAUGGGGGGCCAGCCAUCAAGAACCCACAACAGUCACCAACCCUCUUCCGGCUCUGCCUGAUGGCUGGGUGACGUCAGACAAGAGGCUUGAUGUCUCUGAGCCAGGGUGAAAUGAGGAUAAGAAGACCUGCCUCCCAGGGGUUAAAAAAGAACAUGCCGGUAUCUUCUGCGAUACAAGGUUCUGUUCCUGGCGCCCUUUCAUUCAUGCCACAUGGAUGUAUUCGGUGCUUAUGUGUCCAGCGCAGUGCCAGGUACCUGAGAUACAAAGUUGAAUUCAAGACAAUCUCUGGACAUGAACACAUGCAAACACCCAUACUCAAAAUCAUACCAAUGGAAGGCAAAGACUAAAAAGUUCUAGAUUCUUGAGCGUUGCCUUUUACAGCUGUAUUCAGCUUUGGGGCCUACAUAGGGCACCUAUGUUUUUAACAAACCACUUAACCUCAGGGUGGCCUCUGUUUCCACAUCUAUAAAAUGAAUCUGUCUCCCUUUAUAGAGAUACAAUGACUGAUGGCAAAAUAAAGAUAAAACACAGCUGCCA